GCUGGAGUCAGUGAAGAAUGUGGAGACUACCAUUGUCAAGGAAACUGUAGUCUUUGAGAUAAUAUAGUGGUUUCUGGUGUUGAUCACGCAAAGGUCAUGUGAUAGAUGAAACCUGCAGAACAUGAACAGUAC